UUUUGUUACCCCAAACUACAUAGGCCUAUAAAAGCCUGAUCAGUGACAUAAAAGUAAUCGGAAUGCAGCUAGUAAUUCUUUUAUUGCUCGUUGACGCGUGAACUUCCCCUUUAAAUAACGCGACGCUCUGCCCUCUAUAUGACGCUGUUCCCUUUAAGAGCUGUUGGAAGCGAAUUAAUGAUUUUAUUUUUUUUCUGGAAGAGAAUUUUUUCAGCAUUUCGACACUUCCGUCAGGAUGCGUUAAAUUUGACAAAGCGGUUUAUUAAAAUAUGUAUUGAUCUUAAUUGUAUUGAUUUUAAUUGGCUGUAAAAGUUUUAUAUGUAAAUAUUACACGACACACUGAACCUUUAACAAUGCAUUGGCGCAAAAACGCACACCUUUUAGACCAGUUUCACAUGAAACAUGAUUUCUCGACUGCCACAAAUACUGCCUAAACAAAAUACUGACUUCACUUUUUAUGUAGCCUACCGAUAUUUUAAAUUGGCCUUUGAACUUGCACAGCAAAAAAAAAAAAAAAGCCUUACCUUGCCAAAACACGGACAGAACCCAUUGAUCUAAUGGCAUUGUUGAGGGAUCCAAAUCCAAAUGCAAACUUUGCAUGCAACAAUCAGAGGCAGCAUUGACAGCGCUCUGAUCCAAUAGCAUACAGGCAUCGUCAGAAUGACAGUCCUCUAGCCCAAUGAUGUUGGGGGAUCCAGUGGGGGGCGGCAAUCAUAUUUCAGUGUUCUUGCCACUCUUGAUCACAACCCUGUUAAAAUAUAGCUGCAGUACGAUCGCUUGGUCACGUGCCGCUGCUUAAAUCAUGAAGAACUGAACCUGGACGACAGCAGGGCGCUAUUAUCAUCAAUUCUCAAAAGAGACACCGUUGUCCCUUUCAAGGUAGUAUGUUGAAUUAAAAUAAUACGGUUUGUAUAUACUUUAUAACUCUAACUUUAUAACUAUAAUUUUAUGACUCCUAUUGUUUUAACAGAAACUGAAAUUGAUGGAGACACUUUAAUGAACCUUCUUAAAAACCUUAAAUAUUCCCAAAAAUGAAGGAUUAAGUUAAAUUCAUAAGAUUACAAGACCACAAUAAAAUAAAAAUAUGUAGGCACUGGGCACCUUUACUAAUUAUUAUUAACUAGCCUAUUAUAGCCUAAUUAUUUAAUGGGAAGAACUUAGUGACUUUAACAUUUUCUCAAAUUUAUGCAUUUGGUUGUUAUUACAAAGCAACUUUCAUUGCAUUCACAUUUUUAAUGGGAUGCUCAGUUAGGUGUGAUGGUCAGGUCAGGUGUCCACAUGUUUAGCCGAACUAUAUUGUGAUCUUUGCAAAUCAUUGAGCUGUUUUAUACUAACAUGCACCUUUCUGCAAACUUUUUUAUUUGAUAUUUCACCUGGAUCAAUCUCAAGACAACAUAUUGUAGAAAUAACAUUUUUAAAAAAGACUUGAGACCAGAGAUUUUUUCUUUGACAGGACAAAGCAAACAAGAUCAAACAUAAUUCAAGGUCUGUUUGAUUAGAUGUGCGCAUAUAUAUGGUAAUUUCCACAUUGCAGUAAGUUUAUAAUUUUAGAGAAUGAUGAAGGUAAAAAUGUUUUUCUCUAUUUUCAGGUAUGCAACAGGUAUAUUCAGCCCUUGUUACCAAAUACCAGUUCUUGAGAGAAAAGACUGGCAGAGGAUGUGCUUAAAAACAAAUUUAAAAAAAAGAAAGAUCACCUUUGAUUAAUGUUGAAGAAAUAAAUGAAAUUUGUUGCAGGUUCAGCAAAGUAAGAGUAAGAAAGCAGAUAAUUUUACCAGGAGUCCAUCAAAAAUAUGGCAACCAUUGUAGAGGUACACUGUAAAAAAUGACUGUGAUUUUAACAGUAAAAAACUGUGAAAAAGCUACGGUAAAAAACCUGUUAAAUGGUUAACGGUAAGUUCCCCUAAUAUAUACUGUAAAAAAACUGUAAUAGACAUUUCAGACAAUUUUACGGUGAAAUACCGCUUUUGGAAGUGAAAAAGAAUGUAAAAUUUACAGGGAAAAACCGUAAAUUGAUGUUCCCAGAAUUCCCUGCAUUGCAUUUCAAAUUUUGUUUGAAUUUGAUGUUUUUUCUUUGAAAUAACUAGGUUUCAUCUUCGUUUUUUCUUACCAGUUAUGUUUAUUAUGGUUGUAUGUUACAUCUAAUGUUGUUAAAUUAAUGUUUAUUGCAUAUUUCAGUUUAAUGAGUCUCACCAUGAUGGUGUUUAGUGCUUGUGUGAACGACACUGUGCACCUUCUAUAUAUGUUAUUAUUUAAAAGCUGCUUGUGAUGGGCUUUGGUUCAUCAUGUGACUCUCAUCACGGCCUGCAUUUGGCGGUUAUCAGUGUAAUACAAAGGUACAAAACAGAUAUCGGUACUUCAAUAGGUUGGUAUAUUAACAUUAUAUCAGUUGAUGAAAUUACGGUAUUUAACUGUAAAUUUAUGUCAAAAACGUAAAACCUAAAACGUUGCUACUGUAUAUUUUACGGUAGAAUUCCGGCAACCACAGCUGCCGUUUUUUUAGCGUAAAUUUUACGGAAUUUUUUUUUACAUUGUAGGUUUUCUAAAAUAAAGUGACACUUCAAUACUUACAUUUCUUUUACCCUGUGAGAUUUUUUUUUUUUUUAUCAUUUAUUCAUUUGUUUAUUUAUUCUGUAGAUCUAUCUGGCCAAGAUUUGUAUCAGUAGGGGUAAGUGACACAGAGUCUGGUGGCACAAACAGUGAUCAACGAUCAAAGAAGAGCAGUUGGGGUAGAUACUGUUACUGAGUUGGAUGAAGAAAAACAAAUCUGCGUUGAUUUGGCACACAAAGGUCUCAGUGGUUGCUGCUGUCCUGCUGUUUCCGCUUCUAUUAAAGGAGAGGCUGAGAUCUCUCUAUGUCAUCAGUGAGGAACCACAUACACCCAACCCUGUGCUGUUUAUAAAGGGACGUGCCUUGUAUGCAGAGUCUCUUUCAGAAGUAAUGAUGGAAGGUCUGUGAAGUUGACGAUGUGAACACAGCUCUACACUUCAUCUUCAACACUGAAUAUGCUUCAAAGUUGAGAGACACCCUGACAUUCAUUGAAAACAAUGGGAAGUUUUUUUGAUUAAAUGAAUGUAUAUGUAUAUAAAUGCAUGAUGUCGAUUGUUGUUUAUUUAUUUAUUUAUUUAUGUGUUCAAAAAGGAACCGAUGAGGGUCAUUAAUGCACCUUUAAGUGAAGGUUCCAAUUAGAACCUUUUCAAAAAGUUUCAAAAAUGAACCAUUAAGGUUCCUCCACAGUUGCAAUCUCCAGGAACCUCAAAAGGUUCAUUUUGGAACCUUUUCUUCUAAGAGUGACGUACACUGGCUUGAAUGCCGUUUUUAACAUUUCUUUCAAGGCAUUGAUGUUCUCUGGCUGUACUGCGUGAUUCUCUCACUUAAGGACGUGCGUCAGUGUUUCAAUAAGGAACGUGACAUUUAUAUAUCAUCCAUUUUUCAUCUGCCAUUCUGUACAUCCUUCAGCUAGUCGUGUGUGUGAUCCGCACGCUCCCUUCGGUAUCGCUCUUCUUCAGUGUUUUCUGAUGGAUGUGAAACACGGACUGUAACCAGAGCAAGAAACGGCUGCAGAUUUUACAUCUGAAGAAUUAUAUCAAAUAUACAAGAAAUGUC